GGAAUAACAAUUGACUCACUACGCCUAUGUAUUGGUAUAAUAAAAAACCUUUUGUUUCAGUGCUUAUUUAUGUCAGUUUCUUGACAGUAGUACGUCAGGUACAUUAAUGAGUGAAAUAAAAAAUGGUUUAUUCUAUUCACGAUAGGGUAGAAAUAACUGAAUAUUGUUAUUAUAAACACGUCAAAUUGAAAACCCAGUAAGAAAUGAAGCAGUGGAGGUAGCAGUUUUAGGACAGGAAUGAAAUUGAAAACUUUUGGCACUAGCUCUGGCAUCGUUAUCCUAUAGAUUUUGAAGCUAGCGGUGAAAUAAUUGAUUCGUAACAAUGUUCAAGUCUCCGAAGAUUAGAUUUUCGUUUGAACUCAAAGCAGGAUGCAAGAAAGAAAUAAUGCUGGAGAAUGUCAAGGAUUCUAGAUUCGGAGUAUAACAAAUCAGAUUUAGUAAUAUUUUCAGAAAGGUUUUUGCAGAAUUUCCAACUUUUUAUGUGCUCUUUGAGAGCACUUUACCCCUCUAUUAUCCCAUAUGUCAAUCUGGAUUCAACCAACGCCUGAUAAAUCAUUCUGAGAUGUUUUUCUUCGAGGAAUUUGGUGAUGUAGGUAUUUGAAUCUGUAUAAGAUACUUCUCAAAGUAUUGUAUUGUCUCAAUAUGUGUAUGUUCCAUCUUCCAUCUUGAAUGUUCAUCUAUGGUUACUCCCAAAUAUAUUAUAGAUUCAG